GAUAUUUUCGCUUGUAAUGUCAUCGUAUACACACGUAAUUAGAAUUCUGUAGAAAAGAUCCUUCAAAUAAAUUUAACCAGUGAGAAUUAUUUGUAACUAUCCUGCGUCUCCAAGAUAACAGCAUUAACUUUGUGCGAGUAAGCUACGAAGGCGUACCAGUUCAUCAGUCUUAAGACUACUUGUAUUACGAGGAAUCAAAUGUGCUACAGUGGAAAAUGUUGCUGUUGCGAAUUGGAGACCGGAUCAUUAAUAUGGGCGAUUUUGCAACUUGUCGCGUUGGGAUUGAGCACUUUAGCCAUUAUUAUCGUUUUAAUUAAAAUAAAUACCAUGAUAGGAGAUAUGGAACUGGUCCAUAAUAUCAGUAUGGCACUCUUAGUUUGCCUGGCUAUUGUCGGAUUAAAAAUAAUGUUCUCCUUGUUUUUACUCUUCGGUGUAAUAUGUAAAAAUUCGGGCUUGGUACUAGCAUACGUGAUUGUUUACAUUAUUGAAACAAUACUGAAGGCUCUUGUUAUUAUAGUUUUGGCUUUCUUUUUGAAUGUAUGGUGCAUUGCAUUGUAUCUUGUAACUGUUUUCGACAUUCUCAUAGUUGUUAUGGUGACACAAACGCAUGCGAAAAUUAGGAAUUAUAACAACGGUAACCACGGAUUCCCAUGGAAUUAUUGACAUAAAAAAAACUAUGUUUAGUUUUAGUGCAAUAAAUUAUCAUUAAAAA